GGAAUGGUUGGAAGGAUAGAUCCAAACUAGGGAAGGUAAGGAAGGGGUUAGAGGUUUCUGCGUGAAGAAAACUGAGUCCCUUGUGCUUCGUACAUAUUACAACAACUGUGCAAAGAUUGUGUUGUGCUGUGUUUCAUAUUUUAGAGUGACAAAUAUCUGUACUUUGUCCCACAAAUGAGUGAUCCCAAGUAUGCUUAUCCAUACCCUGCUCAAGGGUACUAUCAAGGUCCUCCUGUGAUGGCACCACCACAAUAUGCUGCUCCACCACCCAGAAGAGAGGUUGGAUUCAUUGAAGGAUGUCUUGCAGCUUUGUGUUGUUGCUGCCUUAUAGAUGAGUGCUGCUGUGACCCUUCAAUCAUAUUUAUCAGCUGAUGAUAUAUGAAAGUUGUUGCAACUAGAAAAAUAAAACAAAGAAGCUUCAAGAAUAUGCAGAGUGAUGCUUCGAGUGGGCUUAGUUAUUAGAAUAAGUGUAAUUGAACAGUUUUACUUUUUCUAGGGGUCAUGCUUGUGUUUGAUGAACCUGUUACCAUUUUCCAACAUGUUCUUGGUGUGGUUCUGCCUCUGCCACUGAUUCUCUUAGUAAUUUGAUUUGUAAUGUGGAAUGGGAAAACAAAGAAUUCUUGUGAAUUAAAUUGGGCCCCUCUGUUCCACAG